ACAAAUUAGGGGCAGAUACAAAAUUUUAGGGAAGGGAGAAUGUCUCUGCAUUUUAAUAUUCAAAGGGCAGAAUAAAUGUUCCCCGUGACAUUCAUUCUGCCAUUUGAAUAUUUCUUUUGGCUUUUGAAUAUCGAAUGUAAAAAAUUUAGAUAAUCAAAUACAAUUUUUUAUGUUAAAGGGUCAAUAAAGUAAAAAUUAAACUUUCAUGAUUCAGAUAGAGCAUGCAAUUUAAAACAACAUUGCAGUUUACUUAUAUUAUCAAAUUUGCUUUGUUCUUUUGAUAUUCUUUGUUAAGAGUAAAGCAACAUAGGCUGAUAGGAGCUCAGAAGUGUGCACGUAUCUUUAGCAGUCUAUGGCAGCAAUGUUUGUAACUGUAUAACAUUGCUAUAAACAAUGUUGCAAACUAGAGACACGUGCACACUCCUGAUCUCACCUAAGAUUACUAUUUAACAAAGAUUACCAAGAGAACUAAACAAAAUUGAUAACAGAAGUAAAUUGGAAAGUUGUUUAAAAAUGUCAUACUCUAGACAAUCUAUUGCAGUUUGUUUGACUUUACUGUCCCUUUAAUUCCCAUAGACAUCCAUUGAAAUCUAUGGAGAUCAACACUUGAAAUGUAAAAUUUGAUCAUUAAAUGUUACUUUUUGAUAAAGCAUUUUUGUAAUACUCAUUGAUAACAUUUUAAGAGCAUUGACUUCUGGGAUUUUACAGGCAUUAAUGCACAUUAUGAGGCACACAUGCAAAGUUUCCAUGGACCCUGAAUAUUCUAAAAUAUUUUAUUUCCUGUUUUUUUUUUAUAUUUGAAACACUAUGCUUGAAUUUUGUUAGGUUGGCCUCUAUACAGGAACAUAAUAGCGCAGGGAAUAUGUUACUGCAUGCCUCUGUGUUUAACUAUGUCUUAGCACCUUAGCAAUAUAUUGUUACGCCAUUGGGCUGGGCUUGGCCAGUGAGCCAAUCAGGAGCAGCAUAUGGACAUUGACACCAGUCAACAGGCAUUUUUGCAGAUCCCAUAUGGGAUAUUUUGUGAUUGGCUGGAACGCCCGGUGAAGGCGUUGCUGGUUCAGGCAAUUGCACACCCCGGUGGAUGCGUUUCUGCACAUUAUCAUCAUCUAAAUAAAUAAAAUCACUGCCUCACAUUGAAAAUAAAUUAUACAAAAUAAACACUACUAAAUAUGGAGCUUAAACACUUGAUAAUUCUUACAACUAAUAAAAUAUGUAUUUGAUGUAAAUGAGAUUAAACGUGUUAUAUAUAUUUAGGUAUAUGCAAUCACCGACUCAUGCACAGAGUAUUUCCUAUAUUGUCACCAAAUUAUAGUUUGUUUUUUUAAAGGGACAUAACCUUUAUAAGUUUAGCUGUUACACUGAUAUUUGGCAAACCGGGUUAAACACUAAUCCCUACUAUGAAGUUGUAGAGACUGAAAACAUUCCUGCACCAUCUUCUCAGUCACCGAGCUCUCUGCACGCUUCACUUACUUCCAAUUUACUUUAUUAGCACACCAUCCCUAAAUAUAUAACACGUUUAAUCUUGUUCACAUCAAAUACGUAUUUUAUUACUUGUAUGAAUUAUCAUUGUGUGUUUAGGCUCCAUAUUUACUGGAAUUUAUUUUGUAUAAGUUAUAUUCAGGUGUGAGGCAGUGAUUUUAUUUAUGCAGAAUUACAGAUGAUUUGUGCGUGCAGAAACACCUCCACCGGGUACGGGUAUGUAAUUGCCUGAACCAGCAACGCCUCCACCAAGCAUUUAAGCCAAUCACAUAAUAUCCCAUGUGGGAUCUACGAAAAUGCGGUAACCAGCCAUGUCCAGCUAAGGAGCAAAAGUGCUUUGGUGCUCGUGCAGAUUUUAAAGAGACACAACUACAAAAGAAUAGCAACUACUCACUAUGUUUUUGCAUUUAAAUUUUUCCUGCAGCUCUUUUCAAUUCAGUUUUCCUGUUUUAAUAGCUUAAAGGUGGCAGAUACUGAAACUCCGCCUUUUCAUGCUGGGCGCCGCCAUUUUGGAGCUCAGGUAUUCUCACCGCCUGUGACAGAAGCUGUGCACACUCACAGAUCAGUAAUAUUGGCUAAUUUUAUACAGCUGUAUCAUUUACUUGGAGUAAGUGUGCAUGAUGCAUUAUGUGAGUUUUACAUUUUUGCCUUUUUUUUUACAUAGUUUUAAAGUUACAUAAAAUAUAAUUAAAUAAGCACUCAACAAUAAUAUAUAGCAAUGCAGCAAAUGUAAAAAUGUACAGCUUUCGGUUUGUACCAAGCACCCUAACCUGAAGCAAAUUAUACAGUUGUCAAGAAGUUGACAACCUAUUUGAUAUGUAAAUGCUACUGCUUCUGUCACAGACUGGGAUACCUGAGCUCCAAGAUGGCAGCACGCUGUACAAAGAGGCGGAGCUUCAGCAUCUGGCACCUUUAAAGGGAACUUAAACACAUUGAGAUUGUAAUAUAAAGUUAUAGAUUGCAUAUAUAAAAAAAAAAAAAUCCAUUAUUUAUUUUGUUCCCUUUUACUGUAAUUCCAUUCUACAAUUGUAAUCUUUUCAGUUCCUGUUAGAAAUGGAAGUGCAGAACACUGUUAUAUUCCACACAGCUUGGCUGCACACUAUAGUGACCUAUGUAUAACUGUACCUAAUUGGCCACAGCAGAGAAGGUAACCUACGUUACAACAUGGCAGCUCCCAUUGUGUUAUAGACACUUAAACGUUACUUAUUUUGUCAAUAUUCAAGCAACUAAUGAAACUUCAAAAAAUACAUCUACUUGUUAUUCUCAAACUAAUCUUUUCUUUAAGCGCAUCAUUCUUUCUAUCGGUUAUUUUGAGUUUAAUGUCCCUUUAAGCUAUUAAAACAGGAUAGCUGAUUUGAAGAGGUGCAGGAACAAGAUGAAAUACAAUAACAUAGUAGUUACUAUUAUUUUGUAGUUGUGCACAGCAGUUUAAUGUCCCUUUAAGUUCUAGGUGUUAAAACCAAUUGACGUUAUUCAGUAGUACAAUACUAAAAUUAUAUAGCAGGUUAAAGCAUUUUUUGCUAUUGCAUCAUUAUGUCCAUUUAACAAUUUCAUUGAUGGUCUGGGGACUUUAGCAGACAAUCUUCCAAAUUCAGAAAAAAAAGUAAGAUAUAAAAAUAUGAUAACCAACUUCUACUGCUUCAAAUCAAUCAUUUGUAAUUAUUUGUUUACAUUUUCAUAGUGUCAAUAUUCUUAAAUUGAUUUUAACAUUUAAAACCAUACAAGGUUCUUGAUUUUUAAAACAAUAUGAACUGGAGGUAUCAAAGCAACUUUAACAUCCCCUCUCCCUUUUGAGUGUAGCAAGCAAUCAAUAAGAUUUUGCACUGGUGUCUGGAGCUAUUAGCAUUGAAGACGGCCUCACAAACAGUGGAUCAAAAGGUCAAAAUAAUUGUGACAUAAAGCUCACAUCAUAAAAUUAAAGAUUCAUUUUACAAUGAUGACAAAGUAAAGCUUUACACCCAGAGAGUAUUCUCCACUAAAAUAUAGCUUGUGCAGCAUACUUUGAAUAGCAGGUGUCUCAUUUGAGUUUUAGAAUUCUGAGAUUUUUUUUUUUUAUUAUGUAAAAUUUAGGGUGUUCAAUCGUAUUUUCUAUUUUUUUAUUUUUUUUUAAAUCCCCAUUUUUUGCUGUUAGAGGACAUAACACCUACAUGAGUUAAAGCAUUCUUACAUAAAAGGAUAAAACACUCUUUAAAAUUGAACCGUAUUUAGUGAGAACUUUAUACUAUAGGCAUAUAUUAAUAAAUUGCCUAUCUGAAGAUUUAAAAAAGAGGAGGAAGUCUUCAAAGCCCCCACAUUUUUCUGGCACUUGCCCCUGCACACUCCUGUAAAGCUUAUAUGCAUUAGAUUGGUUGUGGGCACGCUCGUGUUCAAUCCAUACCUAUAAUGGCAGUAAUUUACAGGAGCAAGCGUUUUAUUUAACUGUUUCAAAGAGAGAGAAACAGAAGUUUACAGUAAGGUAAAUUAUGUAUGCUUUGACAUGUUGUCGCAUUAUAAUAGACAGGUGUAUGCUCUUUUAAAAAGUCCUGCAUGAUGUUAAAAAGUGUUUGUAACUGCUAGAAGCUAAAUUACCACUUCAGUCUAAGACCUCAACCUCACAACCUGCACAGCGUUUUUUUAGCCCAGCCAAUCGGUUUCUUCAUUAGUUAAGGUUCUGAUCUUGUAGAAGUUUUGAGCAAAACUGUCAGAGUACUGACUUAGAAUGUGAUUGGCAGCUUGGUUUCUGGUAACAAAAAAUUUCAUUUAAUAAGUGAAGAGACUUUAUUACUCCCUUAAUAAUUGUAUCUUUAUGUAUAAUCUUUAGAAUCUGUUUAUCAUCUGCGACUGUUAAAGGGACAUUCAACACCAAAAUUGUUUUUGUUUAAAAAGAUAGACAAUGCCUUUACUAUCCAUUCCCCUGCAUUGCACAACCGACAUUGUUAUAUUAAUAUACUUUAUAACACGUAAAGGGACACUGAAACUGAAAUGUUUUCUUUCAUGAUUCAGAUAGAGCAUGAAAUUUGAAUCAACUUUCUAAUUAACUCCUAUUAUCAAUUUUUCUUCGUUCUCUUGCUAUCUUUAUUUUAAAAGCAGGAAUAUAAAUCUUAGCCGUCAGCCCAUUUUAGGUUCAGCACCAUGGAUAGCGCUUGCUUAUUGGAGGAUUACAUUUACCCAACAAUAAGCAAGCAUAACCCAGGUUCUCAACCAAAAAUGGGUCGGCUCCUAUGCAUCACAUUCCUGCUUUUUAAAUAAAAAUAGCAAGAGAACAAAUUUUUUUUUGAUAAUGGGAGUAAAUUAGAAAGUUGCUUAAAAUUGCAUGCUCUACCUGAAUCAUGAAAGAAAAAAUGUGGGUUUAGUGUCCCUUUAAAUCCUUGCUUGUUUCUAAGCCACUAAAGACAGCCUCUUAUCACAUGCUUUUUUAUUUGCUUUACACAACAGGGGAGUGCUAGUUCAUGUGAGCCAAAUAGAUAACAUUGUGCUCACGCCCAUGGGUUGUGGCAGACACUGCAUUAAUUGGAUAAAAUGCAAGUCAAUAGAUCAUAAAUAAAGUCAUGUGAUCAGGGGGCUGUCAGAAGAUGCUUAGAUACAAGUUAAUCACAGAGGUAAAAAGUGUAUUAAUAUAACAGCUGUUGACUGUCCCUUUAAUAUAUAAAAGUUGUCACCACCAAUGAGCAAGGUAAAGGAGUAAUUCUCAAGCACACACAUUACAGAAAUUUCACAAUGGCCUAUAAAUGCUUGUUCAUAAUUUUUUCCCCCCCAGACAGAAUAACUUUACUGACUUUUCCCAAAUUAUAUUUAUCAGAAAAUGUCUAUCCUCUUAUGACCUGUCGAGUAGGUAACUCAUGCAGAAUCCACCCUGGCUAAUUUAGUAAAGACUAUACGUACAUGGUUUUCAGUGACAGGAGGUAAUAAAAAUCGCAGUGUUAUGUUUUCAAGCUUCACAGAUAAACAUCUUACUUGACUGUGCAAUUUGAAACGGACACUCCAAGAGCAAGUGUAGCAUGUAGUGCAAGGACUUUUUUUCCCCCUCUCUUUCCUGUAUAACAGCGUACUUGGUUUCUUAUGGCUAGGACCGAAUGUCUCUGAAUAUUUGGCAGUAGCUCUUGAUUUUCUUUACAUUGACACUUUUGAACUGCCUUACAAAGACCGUUAUCAAUCUACUUUUUUAUUAUUGUAUCUUAAAUUAUUAAAGAAUUUAAAAAAGUAAGAUUUUCUGAUUCUAUCAAAGUAAUCUUUGCUUGUAUGUAAAUUUAAAUGGUUUAAAAGCCAACAUUUAGAGUGUAAGUAACCAUGGCGGUUUUUGUUUUUUUCCCAAAGCACACAAGCAGUUAUGGCUCCUUGUAUGACAUGUAACCUUUUAUUUACUGUGUAAAAAAUGGUUACAUUAUUUCCUAUUUUUUCUUUUUUUUGUUAACGAGUUCUAUAGAAUGCUUGUUUAUGUCAAAAACAUACUUACCUUUGUGAACCUUUUUGUUAGUGUAAACUAUGAGCUGUAUUUUUAUUCCCCCCCCCCUAAAAAAAAAAGACAGCUUGUCUAAUGCUUUUGAAAAGUUCUCUUUGUAAAGUCUAAAGCUGACAGUCUGUUUUAGGUUUUGUUCCCUUCCUUUUCAUACUAAAGUGUCGAUGGUGAUUUUGUGAACUGGUCAGAAAUUCACAGGUCUUUAAAUGUUUUCGGGAAAAUGUUACUGAACACUGCUUUUUUUGUCUAGCAAAUAAGAGAUGUUAAUAUAUUCCUGUUGCUGGCAUGUGCACGGCUGUCAUAGAAGCCACUUUAUCAUUUUCCUGCUUUAAUUAGAAAAGUCUAUUUAUGAAUUCUGCUUGUAGUUUUCUUUUUCACAAAUAAAAUAGUAAAAUUUAA